UCGGGAAAAAGAAACCACGGUAUACUACAAAAAGAAAAUCGAACUUCAGCAACCAGAUCAUUGUUUGGGACAUAAAUUUCGCAUGAAUUCCUUGGAGGAAAUUGGAGUCAACGAGCCCCCAUCACUACCAAAGUCCUAAUUUCCUCCCGUCGAUUCGUGACAGCGAACCUGUGACGAGACACGCGAACAAUGCACACCGUCGGCCCUGGCUAGAUUCGUACACAACCUAUUCCUCCACGGUAAUUGAUUCUGAGAAAGAGUGGAGGUUUUUUUUUACUUCCUCGAGGAAAUGAAAACCUUGAAGAUUCUCCCUUUGGAUUAUGAUAUAAGAAGUCUCCUUUUCAGUGGCAAUCGUGGUUUACUUAACCUUGGUGUUUUUUUUUCAGUGAUUUAAGCCCCCAACUCAUAAAUUUUGAGCCAUUUUGAACUUUCUAUAACAUGUUUUCCUUCUUUUCAGCAAAGGUGCGUAGGCCUUUUCAAUUUCUUGUCUGUUUUAAUUAUCCCAUUUACACCUUUGUAAUUAUCACAACGCCUAGUCUUCCAAGCUUAAAAAAUAAUUGAAUUUGAAAUUUGACAUGUCUCGUCUAUUUCUGUUUUAUCUCUAAAACGUCUCUUGUCAUUCUUUGAAUUUCCUUGCAAUUCACCCAUGCAGGGAUUCCUUUGUGUUUUGAUAAUUCCCAUUAUGGUUUGUCCUAUCUGCCGUACAGGCCGACAUUACACGCCGUUGCUUUACAGAGUAGUGUGCCUUCUUAUUAUGCAGUCUCCGUUGUUAUUUAUUUCUGCUUUUACCAUUUCAUUCAUUACCUCAUCAAUUAUUCAUAUACCGUGUAUAGGCCAGAUCAUAAUUAAGUCAUUACAAUAAGUUCAACAGGCUGGUCUUCGCUCGCCUUGUUUUACGCUUGAAUUAAGCGUCUUUUCAUCCACAGCUGUUUCGGCGUCCACACUCAUUGAGAGUGGUUGACUUGAAAGAAAGAAUCGAAUGCAAACCUCGAGAAAGUUCACGUUAACGAGGUAGGAUGACUUUGAAGUUACUGCGACUUGUCGAAGAAAAAGGUCCAUCGAGCAACAAAACUUAGUAAUCAUGUAAUGAAGAUGUUCUGAUCUCAGUACAGUUGAACAUGUAAACCAAAGUUGUUUCACUUUCUGUGAAGCAAUUACUUUACAUCAUUAGACUUUCUUGAUGUAAAUUUGAACGACGCACCUUACAGUUUCAAUACAUUAAUUUCCAUUCUCAAGACAAGGUACAAAAGUACAGUAUUACAUAUAACAACAUUAUGAUGGUUGAAAUGGAGGCACAUCCCAAAAAGCAGAGCUUGUGGCUGGUGUGCCAUGACAGACAAAUACAAGGAAAUACAAGAACAUAGAAAGUAAUACAUCAGUAACAGUUACAUGAAAAACAGUCCAAGGUCAAGUGCAAAAAACAGUGAAAAAAACCUACGGUUGAUAAAUCAUAAUUGAUCAAAUUUAUUAUGAUGGUUAAAAACAAUGUGAUAUUGAAUAGCAGAUCUACAAGCAGAAAACCAGUUUAAAGAAUCUUAAGCUUAGAUUGGAAAAGCCUCCAACUGGAUGAGUUCCUUAUCGUGAUAAGUAAACUAUUCCAAAGAUGUGGCCCAGAAUAUCGUACAGUAUGUUAUGUUUAGAUGCAGUAAUCCUACACUUGGGUAAAUGCAAAAGAGAGGAAGACCUCGCAUUAUAUCUGUGUACAUUACAAUUACCUUGAAACAUGUUGGCAAAGUGAGAGGGAAGUUGUUUAGCCAUUUGCAUGUAAACAAGUACAAUUUGUCCUAAAGUGACUUUUGGAAAGGAUACGGAGAGCUUUCUUCUGCAAUGUUAUCAAUUUACUCAAGUUACUAGGAUACAGAUUUCCCCACACAAUAUUACAAUAUGAAAUGCAAGGUAAUACUAGUGAGAAGUAAAGAGUUCGCAAAAUAGUACAUGCCUUGGGAAAAGAGGUUUGAGUCUAAUCGAUUUAGCAAGUUCGUUACAGAUUCCAUGUAUAUGGGGCUUCUACAUUAGCUUACUAUCGAUAAUAACUCCAAGAAAUUUAGUGGUAUUAACAAGUUGUAUGAAUUCAUUAUCAAUAGCAAUAUUAUAUUUAUGAAUACACUUCCUAUUCUUAUUGCAGAAAAUCAUAAAAUUACACUUCUUGUGAUUUACUGAUAGUCUAUAGGCCAAACCAGUCAGAAACCUUUGCCAAGUACAUAAUUAUUCGCUUCUUGAAACAGAACAUGUAAAUCUUUGUCGGUACAUAAACAUUUGUGUCAUCAGCAUAGAGUACAAAAGAAAACGAGUCAGAAGAUUUGCAAAUGUCUUUUACAUAGAAAAUAAAUAGAAGGGGGCUAACAAUGAACCUUUUGGUUGAAAAGUUUCAAAAUUAAUGUUAACAUCAAACUGAUCGCAAACUACACUGGAAACUGGGAAUGAAUGGCAUCACUACCUUUUCCUUCCUUUUCUAAUAUUUUACUUCCACGAUUCCUUUGAUGCUAAUCCUGGCAAAAAUGAGAUGGACUCAAAGAGCUUAUUUUUGUAUCGUGUUUAACUGCGUGCAUUAAGAAAAAUCUAAUUAGAUGGGUUAUGUACAAAGAGUGCUUGAUAUCCUGAAUGACCAUUGUGUGUCCAUAGCCCCCCCCCCAAGAAAAGUAAAACUGGUGCCGCACUUGAGUAACCUUCACAAUCAUACCUCCUCACCAUUCACUGGUAGCCAUGUGUUAUCUUUUGAUGUAUCUCUCCACUUCAACUGAUCAUUGUCAUUUGGGACAAUACCAAACCUCCUUAUACCGACAAGGGAUGUGCCAUUGCGCUUAUAGACAGUCAAAAUUUAAUUUGUUUCCUUUGCACGUGUGCGCAUGCCACAAUGCACCAAGUAAAGGGCAGAAUUUUUCAGCAAUACACAUCUUUUCUCUGGAAAUUAAUAAAAACAAGAAAGGCCGCUUGUAGUUGUGCGUCCAGUUGUUAGCACUUUGUUUUGUUUGUUAAAAAUCGAUUUUUUUUUUUUAUCAAGGAGCUCGCAGAGAAUUUGUUGCUGUGUGUGUCGCCCCCCGAUGGCUAGCGGACGUCCGCCACGUCAAACCGAGGGUAAAUCCAGCAUUGAUGACGGCGUGUGCAAGACGAUAGUGACCCGGUGGCGUGCGGGUGCAGACACGCGAUAACACACGCCUCAAUUUUCUCUUCCAAAAGAAUUUUUAAAAAGUCAAUGGUUUCAACACGCAAAUAGACCAAUAAUAGUAAGAAACUUCCGGGUCAUUUUACUCACGAAUUAUACCAAAAUCACAUUGCAUGAAAUAGUUACAUUACGCCUAAUUCAUCGAAGUAAAUGUCCAAGCUCCAAACAGAGUCCAAAGCGUCAAUGAUACAUUGGUUUAUUUAUAUAAAGAAAAAUAUAGAAAAUAAUUUUCGUGAUGAAGUGACGUUAUUUUGCUGUCUGUUUCUGAAGAUUAAUUGUAGCCAACUGGAAUGUCCGACUUUUACUGUAACUGUAAAUUGAGAUAUGGGACCAGGGACUAUUUGUUUUGAAUGAAUUUGGGAAUGUUAAAGUUACAGGGAAGAAUGGCCUGCAAAUAAGGAAUGGUUGAGCAUAAUUAUGGACAUUACAAUAACAUUUUUUUGGAAAGACAGCUAUCUUAGCAGGCGUCAAACGAUUGCAAUUCCGUCGUUUUUUUGGCCCUUACUUUUAAAAUCGCUAACCGGGGUGUGAACAGUAUACCCGCAUCACCACCAAACCAAUACCUGCCAACCGUUCAUGCAUACUUCAAAACGAAACGCUCCACUUUUAAUGAAAUGCCAACUUUUGUUCGUGUAUAAGUGUAAGUAAAAAAAAGGCAACAAAAAAGGCAAAAUAUGAAAUUUUUAAGAGGUGAAUUAGUAAAAGACUGCAUGACACCAGUGUCCCGUCAAGCUGUGGUCCGGUUGAACUUGACCAAUGGGAGUCUACGCUUCAAUAACACACACCAUUAAAUCAUUGCUCGAUCAAGCGGGAUAAUUCUUGCUUCUGCACAAUAAUCCACGCCCUCUCCUAUUCAAAUCUUCAUUAGGGGAAUAAGUACAAUCCUACAGAAAUCGAAUUGCCUUGUCCAAAAUUUCUGUCGGAGGCAAGUUUAUUCUGUCGUGGAUGUGACCUCGUGUUCGUUCUCACACUUUUGUUGGUUGGGGAUUUGUUCUCACUUGAAUUAACAUACCCCUGGAUUCUCAGCGUCUGUUCUUUCUUUAAUUUUUUUUUUUUGGUGGGGGGUGAUAUGCCAAUGAACUUUUGGAUUUUUCCGUGUUCGGGUCUCCUUUUCAUCUAAGUGUAAAAAGUUUAUUUAAAAGUAAAGAAAAUUGUACGAAAGAAAUCAAUCUUCGGCAAAACAUUUUGCCAUUUUUCUCCCUCGGGACUUAUCUAGCAGGAUUUUCCAGAUGCAAAUGGUCCUUUCUUAACUUUCCGAAAACAUUUCAAAGUUUGUGAAGGGAAUUUAUAUUUUUAUAUAUUAAAAAGGCUGCAUGAAUAAUAUCCCAAUUUUUGGCGCCCCAAAUAAGUCCCCCUCAACCCAAAAUUUGGUUUGCGAUGCGCCUUUGGCCUCGUCAUCGGGGACAUAAACAAUGAGGGCGCUGUUUGAAAUAUGCCGCAAGAAUUUAAAGUGAAUGCAGUCGCGUGGUUACAAUAUUUUAACAUGUGAAAUGCUGCUCAAAAGCUCUUCGAAUUCAGAGUUUCAAACAUGCACAAAUGAUGGAGUAGGAAGACGUUAUUCUGGAAGUAUCUGACAACUGGGACGAAAGAAGCAACACUCAGAAGGAACUUACCAAUCUUACUAGGACAAAAAAGCCAGGGAUGGUCACAUCAAUAGAGCCAACUUUCAAGUCAAAAGAAAAAUGAGGACUUACCACACAAAAUUUUCCAGCUGAACUUUGCUGCAUGAGGACCAGAUGAAGGACCCUGGUCCAUACGUCCU